CCUGGUGCAUAAUGGCCUUCUGGGUAAAGAACUACCCUUACCUCAACUGCUGACAGCACAAAUGUUGUCCUUUCUGGAUGAAUGGGACACAAGGAAAAGCAACUACCAAACUCUGCCAAGACAGGCAUGUUCUAAUUUGUGCUUGGAGUGGUUUACAGAAGCAUAUGGAGACCAACCGCAGUUAUGUUUGAGAUUUUUCUCUACAAAACACGGUUGAUUUCUCAUGGUGAGCUAACUGGAUAGGGCUGGUUAAUCUGUCCAGACAGUCCAUGAUCUUCAGGAACUAUCAGCCCCUUGCUCAUAACUGACAAAUUGUUCCCCAGUAUCAGACAUCAUUGGACUCAUUUUUUUCUAUAGUGCUAUGAACACAAAAGCAGAAAAGACAUAAAAGGUAACAAGCCUUUUAUAGCAUAAAAGAGAAAGUAAGAUUGGCAUAUCCUUUGCUUAUGAUUUCUUCUGGGUGGGGAGGGGUGUAGUGGCAAAAGAUACAAUAAUACAGGCAUCUUUCUGAUUGAUUAAAGUAGCGAAGUGUGUUCUUUGCUUCAUAAAUAAUGCUCUAUUACUUUUCUUCAAAGACAAGUAAACCUUGACAGACUGACCUUUUCCAGGGCCCGAGUUGUUUCUAUGCCAUAAAUUAUACUGUA